GAUGAACGCUGGCGGCGUGCCUAAUACAUGCAAGUCGAGCGAACGGACGAGAAGCUUGCUUCUCUGAUGUUAGCGGCGGACGGGUGAGUAACACGUGGAUAACCUACCUAUAAGACUGGGAUAACUUCGGGAAACCGGAGCUAAUACCGGAUAAUAUUUUGAACCGCAUGGUUCAAAAGUGAAAGACGGUCUUGCUGUCACUUAUAGAUGGAUCCGCGCUGCAUUAGCUAGUUGGUAAGGUAACGGCUUACCAAGGCAACGAUGCAUAGCCUACCUGAGAGGGUGAUCGGCCACACUGGAACUGAGACACGGUCCAGACUCCUACGGGGGGCAGCAGUAGGGAAUCUUCCGCAAUGGGCGAAAGCCUGACGGAGCAACGCCGCGUGAGUGAUGAAGGUCUUCGGAUCGUAAAACUCUGUUAUUAGGGAAGAACAUAUGUGUAAGUAACUGUGCACAUCUUGACGGUACCUAAUCAGAAAGCCACGGCUAACUACGUG
rnacentral:rRNA from 1 species